rnacentral:rRNA from 1 species
CAGUCGAGCGGACGGAUGGGAGCUUGCUCCCUGAAGUCAGCGGCGGACGGGUGAGUAACACGUGGGCAACCUGCCUGUAAGACUGGGAUAACUUCGGGAAACCGGAGCUAAUACCGGAUAAUGCAUAACCUCUCAUGAGGUUAUGCUGAAAGAUGGUUUCGGCUAUCACUUACAGAUGGGCCCGCGGCGCAUUAGCUAGUUGGUGAGGUAACGGCUCACCAAGGCAACGAUGCGUAGCCGACCUGAGAGGGUGAUCGGCCACACUGGGACUGAGACACGGCCCAGACUCCUACGGGAGGCAGCAGUAGGGAAUCUUCCGCAAUGGACGAAAGUCUGACGGAGCAACGCCGCGUGAGUGAUGAAGGUUUUCGGAUCGUAAAACUCUGUUGUUAGGGAAGAACAAGUGCCGGAGUAACUGCCGGCACCUUGACGGUACCUAACCAGAAAGCCACGGCUAACUACGUGCCAGCAGCCGCGGUAAUACGUAGGUGGCAAGCGUUGUCCGGAAUUAUUGGGCGUAAAGCGCGCGCAGGCGGUCUCUUAAGUCUGAUGUGAAAGCCCACGGCUCAACCGUGGAGGGUCAUUGGAAA